GGGUUCGUAGCUCAGCUUGGCUAGAGCACCUGGCUCUUAACCAGGGGGUCGAGGGUUCAAAUCCCUUCGGGCCCA
rnacentral:tRNA from 1 species